AGCAGCGUGGCUCAGUGGAAAGAGCACGGGCUCGAAAGCCAGAGGUUAGGGGUUCGAAUCCCGGCUCUGCCA
rnacentral:tRNA from 1 species